UGGGGAAUAUUGGACAAUGGGCGAAAGCCUGAUCCAGCCAUGCCGCGUGUGUGAAGAAGGUCUUCGGAUUGUAAAGCACUUUAAGUUGGGAGGAAGGGCAGUAAGUUAAUACCUUGCUGUUUUGACGUUACCGACAGAAUAAGCACCGGCUAACUCUGUGCCAGCAGCCGCGGUAAUACAGAGGGUGCAAGCGUUAAUCGGAAUUACUGGGCGUAAAGCGCGCGUAGGUGGUUUGUUAAGUUGGAUGUGAAAGCCCCGGGCUCAACCUGGGAACUGCAUCCAAAACUGGCAAGCUAGAGUACGGUAGAGGGUGUGGAAUUUCCUGUGUAGCGGUGAAAUGCGUAGAUAUAGGAAGGAACACCAGUGGCGAAGGCGACCACCUGGACUGAUACUGACACUGAGGUGCGAAAGCGUGGGGAGCAAACAGGAUUAGAUACCCAAGUAGUCCCUGAGCGGGCUGGCAAGGCGCAU
rnacentral:rRNA from 1 species